UACAGAGGUGGCAAGCGUUGUUCGGAUUCAUUGGGCGUAAAGGGUCCGUAGGCGGAUUGGAAAGUCAGAUGUGAAAUCCCACAGCUUAACUGUGGAAUUGCAUUUGAAACUUCCAGUCUGGAGUGUGAGAGGGGUGAAGGGAAUUCCCGGUGUAAGGGUGAAAUCUGCAGAGAUCGGGAAGAACACCAGUCGCGAAGGCGCUUCACUGGCUCAUCACUGACGCUGAGGGACGAAAGCUAGGGGAGCGAACGGG
rnacentral:rRNA from 1 species